AACCGUCCUGACAAACUAAAACUGUUACCCAAUCAUGAAUUGUUAGUUACUAACUAAACCAAUCAUAUACGAACACAUACUCUGAAGAAAGUUAUAAAAAAGCUUGUUAGAACA